GUGGGGCAGGAAAGGGCGCAGGAUAUUCGAGGAGCAGCUGGGAGGUUUCUGGCCUGUGGGUUGUCCUCCUGACAAACCAUCCUCUUGGUCUUUUUCCCCUCUUAAAUCCAGUUUUGUGUGGUGCAUCCAGACCUGCUUCAGGAAACGCAGUGAGCCUGCCCCAUGGAGCUCUGUGGUGCUGUCACUCUCCGCAGUGCAGGUCCCGUUUUAACAUCAGAGUGGUUGGCACAUCCCUUGCUACACCUGCACCUAUAGACUUCAACUGAUCCACAGUGAAUCCUUCCUUUUCUCUCCGUGCAUGCCUGUAGGGGAGGAGGAUUGAGGUGGGACUGAAUCAUGACAGCAGAAACAAGAAGUAAUAAGCCAGUCCUGUUGUGUGGCAAAGAUGCAGCAUACAGAAGUCAAUACUAAACCAGCUUGCUCACAGGAGAGGAAGGGGUGCAUAUAACCCAAUGCUUUGUCAUUUCAUGCUGGCAUUUGGCACUGGGAGGGCUGGCUGUUGAUGUUCUUUAAUGACAAAAGCCACUUUUUACCCCAUGGCUCCUCUCCCGGGGCUGUCCCACUAGGUGUCAGUGCACACUCGUGUUCCUGUGUGUGCCCACAGCUCUGCUCCGUGCAGCAAUAAACAGCCACCGAGUAAUUUCAGCAUAUUGUUCAUUUGCUGCAGCUGUAAUGUAGGUUUCUGGGGCCAUAUAUCAUAAGGCUGUCUGCUUGCUUAUUCCAUGGCUCAAGGCCGCUGGAGUAUAUCUCACUGUGUUCCUGGGAAAAUGAGCCUCUUGAAGCUGAUUUCACUAAAAGCUGUCACAGUACAUUACUGGAGUGCUUUUUAUUAAAGUUUAUUUUCCAGACUGA